rnacentral:rRNA from 1 species
GCAAGUUUGCCACGGAGCGAACGCCGCGAUGAGGGAGGAAGGCCUUAGGGUCCCCUAAACCUCUUUUCUCUGGGAAGAAGAACUGACGGUACCAGAGGAAUAAGCCUCGGCUAACUCCGUGCCAGCAGCCGCGGUAAGACGGAGGAGGCAAGCGUUAUCCGGAAUUAUUGGGCGUAAAGCGUCCGCAGGCGGUUAAUUAAGUCUGUUGUCAAAGCCCACAGCUCAACUGUGGAUCGGCAAUGGAAACUGGUUGACUUGAGUGUGGUAGGGGUAGAGGGAA